UACGGGGGGGGCAAGCGUUGUUCGGAAUUACUGGGCGUAAAGGGCUCGUAGGCGGCCAACUAAGUCGGACGUGAAAUCCCCAGGCUCAACCUGGGAACUGCGUCCGAUACUGGAUGGCUUGAAUCCGGGAGAGGGAUGCAGAAUUCCAGGUGUAGCGGUGAAAUGCGUAGAUAUCUGGAGGAACACCGGUGGCGAAGGCGGCAUCCUGGACCGGCAUUGACGCUGAGGCGCGAAAGCCAGGGGAGCAAACGGG
rnacentral:rRNA from 1 species